rnacentral:rRNA from 1 species
CAAAUAUUAAAGGCAACGCCUGCCCAGUGAACAAUUCAACGGCCGCGGUACCCUAACCGUGCAAAGGUAGCAUAAUCAUUUGUCUAUUAACUGUAGACCUGUAUGAAAGGCAAAAUGAGGGUUCAACUGUCUCUUAUAGUAAAUCUAUUAAACUGAUCUUCCAGUAAAAAAGCUAGAAUACUAACAUAAGACCAGAAGACCCUGUGAAGCUUGAACUAAACCAUUAAACCAAAUAAUAACUACUUUCGGUUGGGGCGACCUUGGAAACAAAAAAAACUUCCAAACACUUACAUAUGUACAUGCAGGCCAACAAGCCAACUAAAUGACCCAGUAAAACUGAUAAAUGAACAAAGUUACUCCAGGGAUAACAGCGCUAUCUUCUUCAAGAGCCCAUAUCAAAAAGAAGGUUUACGACCUCGAUGUUGGAUCAGGACAUCCCAAUGGUGCAGCCGCUAUUAAAGGUUCGUUUGUUCAACGAUUAAUGUCCUACGUAA